GCGGCGAGGAUGAUGAACUGUAUGAAAUAUGAAACAUUUGAGGCCAUGUAAUAAGGUAAGGACAUCACCCGAUAUCUAUAGCUUCGCUCAUCCUGUUGGAUUGUGAUUCUGGCUGUCUUCAUCCUUCCAAAUACUUCUCUUGCCAACAUGACCCGUUGAGUAUUUGGCCAUGAUGAGAUAACCUUUAUUGAUUUUCACCAG